rnacentral:rRNA from 1 species
GACAGAGGGUGCAACCGUUGCUCGGAAUUACUGGGCGUAAAGCGCGUGUAGGCGGACCAGCAAGUCGGACGUGAAAUCCCUGAGCUCAACUCAGGAACUGCAUCCGAAACUGCUGGUCUGGAGUGGUGGAGAGGGAAGCAGAAUUCCUGGUGUAGAGGUGAAAUUCGUAGAUAUCAGGAGGAACACCGGUGGCGAAGGCGGCCACCUGGACUGUACCUGACGCUAACACGCGAAAGCUAGGGGAGCGAACGGG